GUCUUUUGAAACAAAGAACAAUGCCUGCAACUGGUGUAAAGGGAGUCAAUUCGUGCAAGAUUUAAAACCAAGUAACGCGAACAAGGGAACUGAUUUUUUUUAGGCUGAGAUCAUCAGCGUGUUUACUGUACCACAUGGGAUGUUAUCAGGCAGCUAUAUUUUUUUGAACGAUACAGAUCGGAAUUCAAAUCAUGGAGGUGACUCCUCCGACAAGAGUAAAAUGUCUAUUUCUUGCAAUGCUACACUUCCAAUUGAAUUAGGUUAAAAUUACAUUCAAUUGGUGCAAGAUUUAAAACCAAGUAACACGAACAAGGGAACUGAUUAUUUCAAGAUUUAAAACCAAGUAACACGAACAAGGGAACUGAUUAUUUUUAGGCUAAGAACAUCAGAUCGCGGCUUUCAAUACGUUUUCUCCUCUCCAGAGUGAUUAGUGUACUGAUUCUUGAGCCAUUUCAAUCAUAAAAGCCCAAUUCAACUUGGCACUUCUAGAUGUUCACUGGCAGCUAGAUUUUUUUGAACGAUAUAGAUCGGAAUUCAUAUCAUGGAGGGGACUUCUCCGACAAGAGAAAAAUGUCCAUUUCGUGCAAUGUUACGCUUGCAAUUGAAUUAGGCUCAGUUGUAGUGCAAGGGACAUUUUUCAAACAAGUUAAAAUUAUUCAACAGGGGAUUCAUUUCAUUGAAUACCAAAUUGACAACAAGGUAUAUCAGUAUAGCCACUUGGUCAUUGUUGGUGGCCUAAUUCUUCAUAUAGUUCCACAUCGCAGGUGGUCUCAAAAGUGGAGACUAGAUAGUGAAGAUCAUGAGAAAAUAUUAAGUGUUAUUGAAGAGUGGUUUGAACCACUUGAUGUGGUAUUAAAUAUUUAGUACACCUAAGUAAAUGUGUUUGAACCCAUGAAUUGAUUUUUAUAUAGCCUGUGAUAUUAAAUAAUAGUACGUGUGUACAUGUACAAAGUAAAUUGUGAUGUGGAUGAGUUGAAAAUAUGGA